rnacentral:rRNA from 1 species
CGGCCCUWAMMAUGCAAGUCGAACGGUAACAGGAAGCAGCUUGCUGCUUYGCUGACGAGUGGCGGACGGGUGAGUAAUGUCUGGGAAACUGCCUGAUGGAGGGGGAUAACUACUGGAAACGGUAGCUAAUACCGCAUAACGUCGCAAGACCAAAGAGGGGGACCUUCGGGCCUCUUGCCAUCRGAUGUGCCCAGAUGGGAUUAGCUAGURGGUGGGGUAACGGCUCACCUAGGCGACKAUCCCUAGSUGGUCUGAGAGGAUGACCAGCCACACUGGAACUGAGACACGGUCCASACUCCUACGGGAGGCAGCAGUGGGGAAUAUUGCACAAUGGGCGCAAGCCUGAUGCASCCAUGCCGCGUGUAUGAAGAAGGCCUUCGGGUUGUAAAGUACUUUCAGCGGGGAGGAAGGGAGUAAAGUUAAUACCUUUGCUCAUUGACGUUACCCGCARAAGAAGCACCGGCUAACUCCGUGCCAGCASCCGCGGUAAUACGGAGGGUGCAAGCGUUAAUCGGAAUUACUGGGCGUAAAGCGCACGCAGGCGGUUUGUUAAGUCAGAUGUGAAAUCCCCGGGCUCAACCUGGGAACUGCAUCUGAUACUGGCAAGCUUGAGUCUCGUAGAGGGGGGUAGAAUUCCRGGUGUAGCGGUGAAAUGCGUAGAGAUCUGGARGAAUACCGGUGGCGAAGGCGGCCCCCUGGACGAAGACUGACGCUCAGGUGCRAAAGCGUGGGGAGCAAACAGGAUUAKAUACCCUGGUAGUCCACGCCGUAAACGAUGUCCACUUGGAGGUUGUGCCCCUUGAGGCGUGKCUUCCGGAGCUAACGCGUUAAGUCGACCCGCCUGGGGAGUACGGCCGCAGGUUAAAACUCAAUGAUUGACGGGGGCCCGCACAAGCKGUGGASCAUGUGGUUUUAUUUYCGAUGCMACGCGAAGAACCUUACCUGGUCUUGACWUCCACRGAARUUYUCAAGAAGWAUGAAWAKGUGUCUUUCSGGAAACUCGUGAAGAMAGGUGCUGMRU